UUGAGGUUUAAUUAGCACUGUGGAUUGUUUGUCCUCGUGCAGCAGCGAUGGGCUCCGCUGCUGUGGCUCCUGGAGCUGCCACCAAACAAAUAAAGAAGGGUGAUUUUCCAGCAUGAGCCCAGUAAAUCUGUGCUUUUGGCCACUUCUGUGUUUAAUCUGGCUAAGGAGGGGAGCUGGGGGCUGCACUGCACCACUGAGUUCUCUGCUGGAUCUCGUGGCUCUGGGAAUUGAAGAACAAUGCUGGCAUUUGUUGUUUCUCUCAUAAAAUAGAUAAAUCAGCACUGUCUUGACAAAUCUCUUGAAAUAACUCACAAAUGGAUGGUUCCUCUGCAGGAACAAACACACUCUGAGGUCACUCUGCUCCUCUGCAUCUGCAGGCAUUCUGGGACAGCAAAAGACAGGAAGAUAAACUGGAGCAGUUUAAUUGGGAAAUGGGCACUGGAGCAGCAGCAGCACGGAGUGUGGGGCACAGAUCCCAUCUCCUGUCUCUUGCCACUGGUACCUGGAGCAUUGUCCAACCUCUCUCUCCAGCAAUCCAGACAGAAGUAAGAGGAAAUGGAAUAAAUCAGCUCAGGCUGCUCUGGCCUUUCUGCAAGAACUCCACGGGCUGGCACAGCUCUGCAGCACAAGCAGCAGCUGGAGAGGCUCUUGCUGCUUCUG